UACGGAGGGUGCAAGCGUUAUCCGGAUUUACUGGGUUUAAAGGGUGCGUAGGUGGGUCUGUAAGUCAGUGGUGAAAUCUCCGAGCUUAACUCGGAAACUGCCAUUGAUACUAUAGGUCUUGAAUUAUCUGGAGGUAAGCGGAAUAUGUCAUGUAGCGGUGAAAUGCUUAGAUAUGACAUAGAACACCAAUUGCGAAGGCAGCUCGCUACACGAAUAUUGACUCUGAGGCACGAAAGCGUGGGGAUCAAACAGG
rnacentral:rRNA from 1 species